CUACGUGCCAGCAGCCGCGGUAAUACGUAGGUCCCGAGUGUUGUCCGGAUUUAUUGGGCGUAAAGCGAGCGCAGGCGGUUAGAUAAGUCUGAAGUUAAAGGCUGUGGCUUAACCAUAGUACGCUUUGGAAACUGUUUAACUUGAGUGCAAGAGGGGAGAGUGGAAUUCCAUGUGUAGCGGUGAAAUGCGUAGAUAUAUGGAGGAACACCGGUGGCGAAAGCGGCUCUCUGGCUUGUAACUGACGCUGAGGCUCGAAAGCGUGGGGAGCAAACAGGAUUAGAUACCCUGGUAGUCCACGCCGUAAACGAUGAGUGCUAGGUGUUAGACCCUUUCCGGGGUUUAGUGCCGCAGCUAACGCAUUAAGCACUCCGCCUGGGGAGUACGGCCGCAAGGUUAAAACUCAAAUGAAUUGACGGGGGCCCGCACAAGCGGUGGAGCAUGUGGUUUAAUUCGAUGCAACGCGAAGAACCUUACCUACUCUUGACAUCCAGA
rnacentral:rRNA from 1 species